CUUCCUUCUCCUCCUCCUCCUCCUCCUGUUAGAAAAAAAAUGUGGUCAUGUUCAGUAAAAUCGGAAGCGAGGUAUCCGAGUCCUGAGUCCCAAAGUGACUCAGGGACAUUAAUAUCUUUGACAUGCAGGUGGAGUGAGAGGCCAUCUCCCCAGCCAGAGAGUGUUUGAAACCUGCUGAAACAGCCUGUGAGAGCAGGAGCGAUUAAAAUACGACCAUGUGCAGGUUUGUUUCUAACAAGAGCUCUCUGGCAGGACUACAAAAUGCUGAAGGUAAGCACCCAUCUGGGAGUCAGGACUGGGCUCCCAGAUGAGGCUGAAAAAACGCCUAACAUCCUUCCUGUUUCUGGAUCAUCUAUUUCAGCCUUUUUUCCUCUACUUUUUUUUUUUUUUAGAGCGGAGGUAAGGACAGGAACAUGUUUGAGCGGUCAGAGCAGUGAUUUGUGUUUUAUCUGUGAUGAUGUUUUUAUGGAGACAUUGCACAAAUCGUUCUUUCUGAAUGUGUCUCUUUCUUCUUCUUUUGUUUUGUUUUGUUUAGGCGAUCAAUAAUCAACAAAAUGAGGCCGCGAAAUAAAAAAAAGAGCAUCAAACUGCAAUAUGUAAGUGAUAAUAAAACUCUAAAACCAAUUUGACACACUCACCGUUGUUUUAGCUGUACUCUUGAGUGAACUUUAUUACUGUGGUGCAACCAUCUGGCCUCCACUACCAGAGAAAAUAUUGUUUGAACAUUACCAUAAAAUGUGUUGCAGCCUCUUUCUCCGGUUUAUUUUUAGGAGUUUAUUCUGCACGAUAAAAAAGAAAUGUUAAGUGCUACACCGAGCAAAUUUGCAUGAAAAUAGCACUUUAACGCAGCUGUAUUAGCUAGUAUUAGAGAACAUCUAAGAAAGUACAACCCUGUCUAAGUGGUUUGUAGAUGUUGUUGUGUUUUACAGUAUUUGAUUAUCUUUGUCAACAUUGGUGCAUUAAUUGUAAUAAAAUUAAAAGCUUGCUAUUUUGUCCCUUCCAGUACACCAUAGUUGCUGCUGCCAAGGUGGAAAGUAAUUACCUCGGAGACAGCUCUACCAGUAAGUCAGAGGUAAUUUGGACUUUGUGUCGAACUUAAUUAAAGCUCCUAUUAGGAACUUGUGUCAACUCUCUU
rnacentral:lncRNA from 1 species